rnacentral:rRNA from 1 species
CAGCAGCCGCGGGAAUACAGAGGGUGCAAGCGUUAAUCGGAAUUACUGGGCGUAAAGCGCGCGUAGGCGGCUUUUUAAGUCGGAUGUGAAAUCCCUGAGCUUAACUUAGGAAUUGCAUUCGAUACUGGGAAGCUAGAGUAUGGGAGAGGAUGGUAGAAUUCCAGGUGUAGCGGUGAAAUGCGUAGAGAUCUGGAGGAAUACCGAUGGCGAAGGCAGCCAUCUGGCCUAAUACUGACGCUGAGGUACGAAAGCAUGGGGAGCAAACAGGAUUAGAUACCCCCGUAGUCCCUGUCUCUUAUAC